AUGUUGAGUGGUAUACUCUUAAACCAGUGUUUAAAGACUUAACCCCCCCCCCCUCGAAUAUAUUUCAGGAUGUAGAAGACGUCACAGCAUGUCACAUCAACAUCCAGCUCUGCAGGAUCAGACGAUACUGAAAACAAAUUGCACAGAGAACUAGGAGCUGUGAACUGGGAAGCAGAUGUUCUUCUCAGGGACAGCCUACAGGCAGCAAGGUGGUGCGAACACCUAACAUUUAAAGACACCGUUUCCCUCCCAAGUGUAACUGGGAUGGACGGGGAAAACCGCAUUGCAACUCUUAAAGAACUACGGUUGUAUGAUGGAGGGGGAAGACCACAUUACAACUCUUAAAGAACUACGGUUGUAUGAUGGAGGGGGAAGACGCAUUACAACUCUUAAAGAACUACGGUUGUAUGAUGGAGGGGGAAGACCACAUUACAACUCUUAAAGAACUACAGUUGUAUGAUGGAGGGGGAAGACCACAUUAGAACUCUUAAAGAACUACGGUUGUAUGAUGGAGGGGGAAGACCACAUUACAACUCUUAAAGAACUACGGUUGUAUGAUGGAGGGGGAAGACCACAUUACAACUCUUAAAGAACUACAGUUGUAUGAUGGAGGGGGAAGACCACAUUACAACUCUUAAAGAACUACAGUUGUAUGAUGGAGGGGGAAGACCACAUUACAACUCUUAAAGAACUACGGUUGUAUGAUGGAGGGGGAAGACCACAUUACAACUCUUAAAGAACUACGGUUGUAUGAUGGAGGGGGAAGACCACAUUACAAC
rnacentral:lncRNA from 8 species